GAAAUGCGAUAAGUAGUGUGAAUUGCAGAAUUUAGCGAAUCAUCGAAUCUUUGAACGCACAUUGCGCCCCUUGGUAUUCCAUGGGGCAUGCCUGUUCGAGCGUCAUUUCAACCCUCAAGCACUGCUUGGUGUUGGGCGUUUGUCCCGCCUACGCGCGUGGACUCGCCUCAAAGUCAUUGGCGGCUGUUCCCCCUCGGCUCGUAAGCGCAGCACAGUCGGCGCCCGGAGCUCUGGUGGGAUGGCGUCCAGCAAGCUAUAUUUUCAGGCUUGACCUCGGAUCAGGUAGGGAUACCCGCUGAACUUAAGC
rnacentral:misc_RNA from 1 species